AAACAAAAAAAGUUAAAAAAAGUUGUAUGGCCCAUACAGGUUUCGAACCUGCGACCUUCGCGUUAUUAGCACGACGCUCUGACCAACUGAGCUAAUAGGCC